GCGGGUGUGGCUGAGUGGCUAGGCAUCGGCCUGCAAAGCCGUUUACGCGGGUUCGAAUCCCGUCACUCGCUCCA
rnacentral:tRNA from 1 species